rnacentral:lncRNA from 1 species
CACGUGGCCAAUCUCUCUCUCUCUCUCUCUCUCUCUCCCUCCUCCCUCCCUCCCUCUCUCUCUCUCUUGCUCACUCUCUCUCUCGCUCUCUCGCUCUCUCUCGCUCUCGCUCUCUCGCUCUCUCAUCUUUUACAACCCUCUCCAGCCUGGCUGUGUGUACGAACUUUCAUACAGUCAUCGUGGGCGCUGCGGCGUGUUGAGAUGUGCCGGUCCUUGCACACUUUGGGGAAAUCCGUGGGUGGGGGAGACUGAAAAUGGCUGAGAACAGGACGACCAAAGAAAGCAGUCUCCGUCGACCCGUUUCUUCCUGCCAGCUUACCCCCCUCCCCGCUUCCUGUUCUUUGGACUUCGCAGUCCAUAAAAUAAUGAAGCCUCUUACAAGCAGUGACGUUUUAGGUUCAACAAAAUACAUAAAGCUGAGUGAGAAGACCCACUAACUGGCAGCGAGACAGGGCAGCCCACAGUCCAUCUGUAGACUGCGGGAGGAAAGCGCCUGCCUUCCCAAUGGAUCGUGGAGACCCCACAAAGCUGAUAACUCUCGUGGGAAUCCUUGAGCGCUGCCUCUGAUUAAGCCCUGCUCGGCAGUUAACAAUCCUCCCUUUAAGACGAGGUACUCACUGAGCGUACUCAGAAGUGCCAGGCCGGCUACUGCUGUGGGACCAGGGUCUUACUUUCAACGCCCUAUUGAGCUGACUUUCCAGCUGCGGUGCAGACCUAAUGAUGCUUCCUCCCAUUCUGUUUCUGCCCUUUUUCCUUCUCUGCCUCCGCUGGUACCAUCAUCACAUCAACCAGGAUCCAGUACCCUAUUCUAUUUUGUGUCAUCUCUCAAAGCUCACUUUACCAGGGGCUUAAGCCAUUAAAACACAGUAUUUGAAGUUUGCCGAAUGUGUGUACAUUUCAUCUUCUGAUCGUUCUCACUUCAAAAAUAAUAAAAGAUAGCAAAGUGAUCCUGUGUCACUUCACCCAGCCCUCCUCGGUGUCAGUGCAAGCCAG